CAAUAGCGUAUAUUAAAGUUGUUGCAGUUAAAAAGCUCGUAGUUGGAUUUGUGGCUGUCACGGGCGGCCUAUCACUUAGUGUUAGUGCUUGCCUGUGUCGCCAUCCUUGGGUGGAGCCCGUGUGGCAUUAGGUUGUCGUGCGGGGGAUGCCCAUCGUUUACUGUGAGAAAAUUAGAGUGUUCAAAGCAGGCUUAUGCCGUUGAAUAUGUUAGCAUGGAAUAAUAAGAUAGGACCUCGGUACUAUUUUGUUGGUUUGCGCACCGAGGUAAUGAUUAAUAGGGACAGUUGGGGGUAUUCGUAUUUCAUUGUCAGAGGUGAAAUUCUUGGAUCUCUGAAAGACGAACUACUGCGAAAGCAUUUACCAAGGAUGUUUUCAUUAA
rnacentral:rRNA from 1 species